rnacentral:rRNA from 1 species
UUCCGGUUGAUCCCGCCGGACCUGACUGCUAUCGGAUUGAUACUAAGCCAUGCGAGUCUUUGUAGUAAUACAAGGCAGACGGCUCAGUAACGCGUAGUCAACCUACCCUAUGGACGGGAAUAAUCUCGGGAAACUGGGCAUAAUUCUUGAUAGAUCAUAAUGCCUGGAAUGGUUUAUGGUUAAAAUGAUUCGUCGCCAUAGGAUGGGACUGCGGCCUAUCAGCUUGUUGGUGAGGUAAUGGCCCACCAAGGCGAUUACAGGUACGGGCUCUGAGAGGAGAAGCCCGGAGAUGGGUACUGAGACAAGGACCCAGGCCCUAUGGGGCGCAGCAGGCGAGAAAACUUUGCAAUGUGCGAAAGCACGACAAGGUUAAUCCGAGUGAUUUCUGCUAAAGAAAUCUUUUGCAAGUCAUAAAACCACUAGUGAAUAAGGGGUGGGCAAGUUCUGGUGUCAGCCGCCGCGGUAAAACCAGCACCUCAAGUGGUCAGGAGGAUUAUUGGGCCUAAAGCAUCCGUAGCCGGCUCUGUAAGUUUUCGGUUAAAUCCAUGUGCUCAACACAUGGGCUGCCGAAAAUACUGCAUAGCUAGGGAGUGGGAGAGGUAGACGGUACUCGGUAGGAAGGGGUAAAAUCCUUUGAUCUAUCGAUGACCACCUGUGGCGAAGGCGGUCUACCAGAACACGUUCGACGGUGAGGGAUGAAAGCUGGGGGAGCAAACCGGAUUAGAUACCCGGGUAGUCCCAGCUGUAAACGAUGCAGACUCGAUGAUGCAUUGGCAUAUAGCCAGUGCAGUGUCGCAGGGAAGCCGUUAAGUCUGCCGCCUGGGAAGUACGUACGCAAGUAUGAAACUUAAAGGAAUUGGCGGGGGAGCACCACAAGGGGUGAAGCCUGCGGUUCAAUUGGAUUCAACGCCGGG